CCUGUUGUCUGUAACCUAUAACUAGUCUAGGGAGAGACCUGUUGUCUGUAACCAGUAACUAGUCUAGGGAGAGACCUGUUGUCUGUAACCAGUAACUAGUCUAGGGAGAGACAUGUUGUCUGUAACCUAUAACUAGUCUAGGGAGAGACCUGUUGUCUGUAACCAGUAACUAGUCUAGGGAGAGACCUGUUGUCUGUAACCAGUAACUAGUCUAGGGAGAGACCUGUUGUCUGUAACCAGUAACUAGUCUAGGGAGAGACCUGUUGUCUGUAACCAGUAACUGGUCUAGGGAGAGACCUGUUGUCUUUAGUUAAAUUUAUUUAAAUGAAUGUAAUACACAUUAUUAUAUCCUUCUGGCUAAAUCCCAAAUGGCACCCUAAAUGACCAGUUCAAAAGUAGUGCACUUUAUAGGGAACAGGGUGUCAUUUGGGCCAAAUAUAGGAUAAUUUGACUGUAGCCUUCUGCGUUCAGCAGAGACCACUUUUUCCUUGUUGGCACUUUAUCUGUUGGUUAGUAGGUGUUAUUAUAUUAUUGAACCUCUUGAGCCAUACGCUAUUGGGUUAGUCAGACUGAUCAGCAAGUCUCAAUAAGGUGUUGGGUUAGUCAGGCUGAUCAACAAGUCUCAAUAAGGUGUUGGGUUAGUCAGGCUGAUCAACAAGUCUCAAUAAGGUGUUGGGAUCAACAAGUCUCAAUAAGGUGUUGGGUUAGUCAGGCUGAUCAGCAGGUCUCAAUAAGGUGUUGGGUUAGUCAGGCUGAUCAACAAGUCUCAAUAAGGUGUUGGCAUCAACAAGUCUCAAUAAGGUGUUGGGUUAGUCAGGCUGAUCAACAAGUGUCAAUAAGGUGUUGGGUUAGUCAGGCUGAUCAACAAGUCUCAAUAAGGUGUUGGGUUAGUCAGGCUGAUCAACAAGUCUCAAUAAGGUGUUGGCAUCUACAAGUCUCAAUAAGGUGUUGGGUUAGUCAGGCUGAUCAGCAAGUCUCAAGUCUCAAACACCUUAGUAAUAUAUUCUGUCCAUGGACUCAUGCUACUCAUAUUCACUGGGGUUGUGUGUCCCAAAUGGCAACUCAUUCUACAUUUGACCAGGGCCCAUAUGGGGGAUAGGAGGUCAUUAAUGACCGGGGCCCAUAUGGGGGGGGAUAGGAAGUCAUUAAUGACCAGGGCCCAUAUGGGGGAUAGGAAGUCAUUAAUGACCAGGGCCCAUAUGGGGGAUAGGAGGUCAUUAAUGACCGGGGCCCAUGGGGGGGAUAGGAAGUCAUUAAUGACCAGGGCCCAUAUGGGGGGAUAGGAAGUCAUUAAUGACCAGGGCCCAUAUGGGGGAUAGGAAGUCAUUAAUGACCAGGGCCCAUAUGGGGGGAUAGGAAGUCAUUAAUGACCAGGGCCCAUAUGGGGGAUAGGAAGUCAUUAAUGACCAGGGCCCAUAUGGGGGAUAGGAAGUCAUUAAUGACCAGGGCCCAUAUGGGGGAUAGGAAGUCAUUAAUGACCAGGGCCCAUAUGGGGGGGAUAGGAAGUCAUUAAUGACCAGGGCCCAUAUGGGGGAAUAGGAAGUCAUUAAUGACCAGGGCCCAUAUGGGGUAUAGGAGGUCAUUAAUGACCAGGGCCCAUAUGGGGGAUAGGAAGUCAUUAAUGACCAGGGCC
ensembl:lncRNA